rnacentral:rRNA from 2 species
GGAUGUCGAUCAUACCAGCACUAAAGCACCGGAUCCCAUCAGAACUCCGAAGUUAAGCGUGCUUGGGCGAGAGUAGUACUAGGAUGGGUGACCUCCUGGGAAGUCCUCGUGUUGCAUUCC